rnacentral:rRNA from 1 species
GUGUCAGCCGCCGCGGUAAUACAGAGGGUGCGAGCGUUAAUCGGAUUUACUGGGCGUAAAGGGCGCGUAGGCGGUUGUGUGAGUGUGAUGUGAAAGCCCCGGGCUCAACCUGGGAAGUGCAUCGCAAACGACACGACUGGAGUAGAUGAGAGGGUGGCGGAAUUUCCAGUGUAGCGGUGAAAUGCGUAGAGAUUGGAAGGAACGUCAAUGGCGAAGGCAGCCACCUGGCAUCAUACUGACGCUGAGGCGCGAAAGCGUGGGGAGCGAACAGGAUUAGAUACCCCUGUAGUCC